rnacentral:rRNA from 1 species
GAUGAACGCUGGCGGCGUGCCUAAUACAUGCAAGUCGAACGAAACUUCUUUAUCACCGAGUGAUUGCACUCACCGAUAAAGAGUUGAGUGGCGAACGGGUGAGUAACACGUGGGCAACCUGCCCAAAAGAGGGGGAUAACACUUGGAAACAGGUGCUAAUACCGCAUAACCAUAGUUACCGCAUGGUAACUAUGUAAAAGGUGGCUAUACUACCGCUUUUGGAUGGGCCCGCGGCGCAUUAGCUAGUUGGUAGGGUAAAGGCUUACCAAGGCAAUGAUGCGUAGCCGAAUUGAGAGGUUGAUCGGCCACAUUGGGACUGAGACACGGCCCAAACUCCUACGGGAGGCAGCAGUAGGGAAUCUUCCACAAUGGGCGAAAGCCUGAUGGAGCAACGCCGCGUGGGUGAAGAAGGUCUUCGGAUCGUAAAACCCUGUUGUUAGAGAAGAAAGUGCGUGAGAGUAACUGUUCACGUUUCGACGGUAUCUAACCGGAAAGCCACGGCUAACUACGUG